rnacentral:rRNA from 1 species
GACCCGUCUUGAAACACGGACCAAGGAGCCCAACAACUGCGCGAGUCGCACGGUCUUGAAUAGGCCUGUGAGGCGAAAUAAACAUAAUGGUAUGAUCUCGGUGAUCUCUUCGGAGUAAGCUGAGCGCAAUACCAACCCUGCUUUGCAUACUUUUUGUAUUAAAGUGGCGUUUGAGCGUAGUUGUUGGUACCCGAAAGAUGGUGAACUAUACUUGGGCAGGACGAAGCCAGAGGAAACUCUGGUGGAGGUCCGUAGCGGUUCUGACGUGCAAAUCGAUCGUCAGACCUGAGUAUAGGGGCGAAAGACUAAUCGAACCAUCUAGUAGCUGGUUCCCUCCGAAGUUUCCCUCAGGAUAGCUGGUGCCUACGUCUGUAGCAUCCGGUAAAGCGAAUGAUUAGAGGUAUUGGGAACGAAACGUUCUCAACCUAUUCUCAAACUUUAAAUGGGUGCGAAGCAUGACUUUUUUAACUAAAGUCUUGCCUCGAAGACAGGUGCCAAGUGGGCCAUUUUUGGUAAGCAGAACUGGCGCUGCGGGAUGAACCGAACGAGGAGGUAAAGGACCAAAUGCCGACGCUCAUGAGACCCCAUGAAAGGUGGUGGUUGCUAUAGACAGCAGGACGGUGGCCAUGGAAGGUGGAAUCCGCUUAGGAGUGUGU